rnacentral:rRNA from 1 species
CGUAGUGAACCUGCGGAAGGA